ensembl:lncRNA
CUGCACUGAUCAAUUCAGGGUUUUCCCUACAAAAUAGUUUCAUUAAAAAAACAGGAAGAUCCAACUAAGAUAAAAGGGACAAGUCACAAGUUUUGUUUCACCAAAGAUCUCAAACCGGCUCAUUGCGAAGCUGUUGCAUUACGCAGGUCUCUCGUGCGUGUUUGCGUUGAUAAAUUAAUGUUUAGAGGUCAACAAUGAUUUAAUACCAUAGACACUUGUUAAGCGGCUAGUUAAAACUUGCCAGUUAUUUCAUUUUCAUGAUAAAUUAAUGUUGGAGCCUCUAGCAAGUCGGUAGUAAACUAAGUAAACCGCUGACUGACAGGGGAAUUGCCCGACUGGGCGAGUGAGCGGGUGAGAGAGGAGGAAAAAGGUAGAGAGAGGGGUGUGGGACUGCAAAAGGUGGUCCUCCUUAGGCACAUGUGAUUUCGUUCCGAGACCUACGAGCUGAAAGACCAGGCAUGAGUCCAAGGAUGGGUAAAACAUGUCUAUACCUGUGGAUAUAAAAGUAUCGAUUACGGAUGGAUUGUAUUGGUUUAUUGUCUUGCUGGACUGCUGGCCAUGCACGGGAAAUAUAUAUUUGCGCUCACGCCGCAAUUGUUAGGCAUUGAGUGGUGGUCAUGGAGAGACUGAGCUCUCUCUGAGUCAUUGUUGGAUGUCCGGAAUAGCUUUUGAAUUGAAAUCAUGCUAUGUUUUGGGGUCUAUGAAAAUAUCUCCUGAAAUGGAAAUGAAUAGACAAAUAUAGAUGUCAAUUCGGUAACCCGGGGUGUGGAAUAUUACGCACUUUUCCCUCAUGGCUUUACCAAACUCCUCGGGCUCCUCUGGAGCUGACAAGCCCAACCCCAGUCUCAUAGAUCUGGGAAUAUUCUUCGUGGACUCUGAUAUCAUAUUUGGAUUUACCAGUCAUCUUCUGAGGAGAAAAGCAAAGAACUACGUCUAGUAGGUAUACCCAGACCAAGGAGAAUGAACUCAUUUCGGGGAAAUGCAACUCUUGGACGGGACCCUGACAACUGCAGGUUUACUGUGGAGGGUUGUCCCAGCGGAGAGUCGCCGUUCCUUCUUGAUCUGAAUACCAGGAAAAUACUUCACUCAUCCGAGUAUGCGCGGUGUAACAGCCGGCCACCACCCGAGGGCGCUGGGUCGGUGACUGUCUCCGAGUCAGAGAGAAGGGACGGCAAAGGAAGCUUUUGCCAACAAUGUCAAAUUAAUGUGACUGAGCUGAAGAGGCAAGCGCUGGCCUUGGCAGACCCAAGUUCACUAACGAUUUGUGAAUACAUGUUUAACUUUACUUUGAGUCUCAAGGCUGGUUGUAUUUGACCCGUAAUGCUCGGUUUGCAUGACAAGGACAGACUGCCUUGGUUCCAACUUCCACUCAUUUAUUGCAGGGGAUAUAGGGGCACAGAUGGCAUGCUCAGAAUAAAGCGUGCUUCCACCUUCCUCCCAGUGUAGAUAGCUGUAGGCAUGCAGUGUGAUUCUGCAUGUUUCUGACUAUGUCCUGUGUCAUGACCCAUGCUCCAGCUUUGCCUUGUGGUCCUCAUCACUGAUGGGCACCCCUCUGAUGGUUUUAUGUUUGUACUCACUGCCAAUGUGCCUAUGAGAUAGUCCAGUGCAAUGGGUACACAUGGCUGUAAGACUUGUGAGCUCUGUAUUCCCAGCAUGUAGUAGCUGUUGCUCAGGCUGUGUUGAUUGUCAAGCAAAUAGCUGUUGGUCUCACGGUAAAUGACCGUUAAUUUAAAACACAUCCUGCCUUCCACACAGCCUACAAGCAAUUUAAAAAGUCGAAUAAAUCCCUGUAAUAUAACCUACACCAAUAAAUCCAUUAUUUAUUUGAGACAGUUCUAAAGAAGCAUAAUAUGAAGAAAAUGUAGUCUAUUUCCGAAUAAAAAAAUAGCUAUCCUUAUGUUAGGUCCUGAUGUGGCUAUGCCAAAUGGCUGUGGGCUACACUAGUUCAUUUAGCAGACAAGAUUUGCUUAUAAUUCCGUGGCAUUAUUUUUUAUUAUGUUAUAGUAUGAAGAAUACAAUUGCACAAAGCUGAAUAAAAUGUAGAUAUUUUCUCCAAAUUAUUUGAGGGAGUGCGCACAGAAAUAUGUACCCCUAUAUGCUUAUUUUAGAGUUAUUAAUGUACCUUUAGUUCUACAAAGAAUGUCAUAUGUAGCUAUAUGUUUCGAUUUUUAAUACAUCGUAAGGCUGCAUGAUGAGACUAAUGAUGAUUUUGAAAAGUUGCUUGAAAGGCACGAGCUCUGCUUUGUUUUUUUUGUGCAGGCUGUACACACUCCAAUAGUCACUCAUCCACAAUUUGACAAGCAUGCCUUGAUAAUGCCUCGAAAUUCAUGGCGGUAUCCCCUUCGUGGCAGUAAUGCACCCUAAAAAAAUCCAUUCAUUUUGUGGCCAGAGUGCUGUGUUGUGCCCUUCUCGCUGAGAGUGCUGCGCAAUCCGAAGCGUCUCUCACUC